GACUGACCAGAGAGAGGUGAGACUGACCAGAGAGAGGUGAGACUGACCAGAGAGAGGUGAGACUGACUAGAGAGGUGAGACUGACCAGAGAGAGGUGAGACUGACCAGAGAGAGGUGAGACUGACCAGAGAGAGGUGAGACUGACUAGAGAGGUGAGACUGACCAGAGAGAGGUGAGACUGACCAGAGAGAGGUGAGACUGACCAGAGAGAGGUGAGACUGACCAGAGAGAGGUGAGACUGACUAGAGAGGUGAGACUGACCAGAGAGAGGUGAGACUGACCAGAGAGAGGUGAGACUGACCAGAGAGAGGUGAGACUGACUAGAGAGGUGAGACUGACUAGAGAGGUGAGACUGACCAGAGAGAGGUGAGACUGACCAGAGAGAGGUGAGACUGACCAGAGAGAGGUGAGACUGACUAGAGAGGUGAGACUGACCAGAGAGAGGUGAGACUGACCAGAGAGAGGUGAGACUGACCAGAGAGAGGUGAGACUGACCAGAGAGAGGUGAGACUGACUAGAGAGGUGAGACUGACCAGAGAGAGGUGAGACUGACCAGAGAGAGGUGAGACUGACCAGAGAGAGGUGAGACUGACUAGAGAGGUGAGACUGACCAGAGAGGUGAGACUGACCAGAGAGAGGUGAGACUGACCAGAGAGAGGUGAGACUGACCAGAGAGAGGUGAGACUGACUAGAGAGGUGAGACUGACCAGAGAGAGGUGAGACUGACCAGAGAGAGGUGAGACUGACCAGAGAGAGGUGAGACUGACUAGAGAGGUGAGACUGACCAGAGAGAGGUGAGACUGACCAGAGAGAGGUGAGACUGACCAGAGAGAGGUGAGACUGACUAGAGAGGUGAGACUGACUAGAGAGGUGAGACUGACCAGAGAGAGGUGAGACUGACCAGAGAGAGGUGAGACUGACCAGAGAGAGGUGAGACUGACUAGAGAGGUGAGACUGACCAGAGAGAGGUGAGACUGACCAGAGAGAGGUGAGACUGACUAGAGAGGUGAGACUGACCAGAGAGAGGUGAGACUGACCAGAGAGAGGUGAGACUGACCAGAGAGAGGUGAGACUGACUAGAGAGGUGAGACUGACUAGAGAGGUGAGACUGACCAGAGAGAGGUGAGACUGACCAGAGAGAGGUGAGACUGACCAGAGAGAGGUGAGACUGACCAGAGAGAGGUGAGACUGACCAGAGAGAGGUGAGACUGACCAGAGAGAGGUGAGACUGACCAGAGAGAGGUGAGACUGACCAGAGAGAGGUGAGACUGACCAGAGAGAGGUGAGACUGACCAGAGAGAGGUGAGACUGACCAGAGAGAGGUGAGACUGACCAGAGAGAGGUGAGACUGACUAGAGAGGUGAGACUGACCAGAGAGAGGUGAGACUGACCAGAGAGAGGUGAGACUGACCAGAGAGAGGUGAGACUGACCGGAGAGAGGUGAGACUGACCAGAGAGGGGUGAGACUGACCAGAGAGAGGUGAGACUGACCAGAGAGGGGUGAGACUGACCAGAGAGGUGAGACUGACCAGAGAGAGGUGAGACUGACCAGAGAGAGGUGAGACUGACCAGAGAGGGGUGAGACUGACCAGAGAGAGGUGAGACUGACCAGAGAGGGGUGAGACUGACCAGAGAGAGGUGAGACUGACCAGAGAGGGGUGAGACUGACCAGAGAGAGGUGAGACUGACCAGAGAGGGGUGAGACUGACAAGAGAGGUGAGACUGACCAGAGAGAGGUGAGACUGACCAGAGAGAGGUGAGACUGACCAGAGAGGCGAGACUGACCAGAGAGAGGUGAGACUGACCAGAGGGGUGAGACUGACCAGAGAGAGGUGAGACUGAGCAGAGAGACAGGAGACUGACCAGAGAGAGGUGAGACUGAGCAGAGAGACAGGAGACUGAGCAGAGAGAGGUGAGACUGACCAGAGAGAGGUGAGACUGACCAGAGAGAGGUGAGACUAACCAGAGAGAGGUGAGACUGACCAGAGAGACAGGAGACUGAGCAGAGAGAGGUGAGACUGACCAGAGAGAGGUGAGACUGACCAGAGAGAGGUGAGUCUGACCAGAGAGAGGUGAGACUGAGCAGAGAGAGGUGAGACUGACCAGAGAGAGGUGAGACUAACCAGAGAGAGAUGAGACUGAC